ACCCUGCGGAACAUUUAAAAUCGAAUUCACUAUGGAGUUGUUGCUGGCCUCUAGGCGGCAUGUGCACGCUUCACUAGUCUUUCAACCACCUGUGAACUUUUGAUAGAUCUGUGAAGUCGUCCUUCAAGUCGUCAGACUUGGUUUGCUGGGAUUUAAACGUCUCGGUGUGACAACGCAGUCUAUUUACUUAACACACCCCAAAUGUAUGUCUACGAAUGUCAUUUAAUGGGCCUUGUGCCUAUAAACCAUAAUACAACUUUCAACAACGGAUCUCUUGGCUCUCGCAUCGAUGAAGAACGCAGCGAAAUGCGAUAAGUAAUGUGAAUUGCAGAAUUCAGUGAAUCAUCGAAUCUUUGAACGCACCUUGCGCCCCUUGGUAUUCCGAGGGGCAUGCCUGUUUGAGUGUCAUUAAAUUCUCAAACUCACAUUUAUUUGUGAUGUUUGGAUUGUUGGGGGUUGCUGGCUGUAACAAGUCGGCUCCUCUUAAAUGCAUUAGCAGGACUUCUCAUUGCCUCUGCGCAUGAUGUGAUAAUUAUCACUCAUCAAUAGCACGCAUGAAUAGAGUCCAGCUCUCUAAUCGUCCGCAAGGACAAUUUGACAAUUUGACCUCCAAAUCAGGUAGGACUACCCGCUGAACUUAAGCAUAUCAAUAAGCGGAGGAAAAGAAACUAACAAGGAUUCCCCUAGUAACUGCGAGUGAAGCGGGAAAAGCUCAAAUUUAAAAUCUGGUGGUCUUUGGCCAUCCGAGUUGUAAUCUAGAGAAGUGUUAUCCGCGCUGGACGUCAAAUUUUUUUUUCCCAGAGAGAAA
rnacentral:rRNA from 1 species